AGACUUUGAUUCUGGCUCAGAACGAACGCUGGCGGCAUGCUUAACACAUGCAAGUCGAACGAUCCUUUCGGGGAUAGUGGCGGACGGGUGAGUAACGCGUGGGAACCUGCCCCGAGGUACGGAGUAACCCAGGGAAACUUGGGCUAAUACCGUAUGUGACCUGAGGGUGAAAGAUUUAUCGCCUUGGGAGGGGCCCGCGUCGGAUUAGGUAGUUGGUGGGGUAAUGGCCUACCAAGCCUGCGAUCCGUAGCUGGUCUGAGAGGAUGAUCAGCCACACUGGAACUUAGACACGGUCCAGACUCCUACGGGAGGCAGCAGUGGGGAAUAUUGGACAAUGGGGGCAACCCUGAUCCAGCAAUGCCGCGUGCGUGAUGAAGGCCUUAGGGUUGUAAAGCGCUUUCGGCGGGGAAGAUGAUGACGGUACCCGCAGAAGAAGCCCCGGCUAACUCCGUGCCAGCAGCCGCGGUAAUACGGAGGGGGCUAGCGUUGUUCGGAAUUACUGGGCGUAAAGGGCGCGUAGGCGGCGGUUUAAGUUAGGCGUGAAAGCCCCGGGCUUAACCUGGGAACUGCAGCUUGAUACUGGAUCGCUUGAGGACGGGAGAGGGUACGUGGAAUUCCCAGUGUAGAGGUGAAAUUCGUAGAUUUGGGAAGAACACCAGUGGC
rnacentral:rRNA from 1 species